GUGUAGGCUGGUUUUCCAGGCAAAUCCGGAAAAUCAAGGCUGAGGCGUGAUGACGAGGCACUACGGUGCUGAAGCGACAAAUGCCCUGCUUCCAGGAAAAGCCUCUAAGCAUCAGGUAACAUCAAAUCGUACCCCAAACCGACACAGGUGGUCAGGUAGAGAAUACCAAGGCGCUUGAGAGAACUCGGGUGAAGGAACUAGGCAAAAUGGUGCCGUAACUUCGGGAGAAGGCACGCUGAUAUGUAGGUGAAGCGACUUGCUCGUGGAGCUGAAAUCAGUCGAAGAUACCAGCUGGCUGCAACUGUUUAUUAAAAACACAGCACUGUGCAAACACGAAAGUGGACGUAUACGGUGUGACGCCUGCCCGGUGCCGGAAGGUUAAUUGAUGGGGUUAGCGGUAACGCGAAGCUCUUGAUCGAAGCCCCGGUAAACGGCGGCCGUAACUAUAACGGUCCUAAGGUAGCGAAAUUCCUUGUCGGGUAAGUUCCGACCUGCACGAAUGGCGUAAUGAUGGCCAGGCUGUCUCCACCCGAGACUCAGUGAAAUUGAACUCGCUGUGAAGAUGCAGUGUACCCGCGGCAAGACGGAAAGACCCCGUGAACCUUUACUAUAGCUUGACACUGAACAUUGAGCCUUGAUGUGUAGGAUAGGUGGGAGGCUUUGAAGUGUGGACGCCAGUCUGCAUGGAGCCGACCUUGAAAUACCACCCUUUAAUGUUUGAUGUUCUAACGUGGGCCCCUUACCGGGGUUGCGGACAGUGUCUGGUGGGUAGUUUGACUGGGGCGGUCUCCUCCUAAAGAGUAACGGAGGAGCACGAAGGUUGGCUAAUCCUGGUCGGACAUCAGGAGGUUAGUGCAAUGGCAUAAGCCAGCUUGACUGCGAGCGUGACGGCGCGAGCAGGUGCGAAAGCAGGUCAUAGUGAUCCGGUGGUUCUGAAUGGAAGGGCCAUCGCUCAACGGAUAAAAGGUACUCCGGGGAUAACAGGCUGAUACCGCCCAAGAGUUCAUAUCGACGGCGGUGUUUGGCACCUCGAUGUCGGCUCAUCACAUCCUGGGGCUGAAGUAGGUCCCAAGGGUAUGGCUGUUCGCCAUUUAAAGUGGUACGCGAGCUGGGUUUAGAACGUCGUGAGACAGUUCGGUCCCUAUCUGCCGUGGGCGCUGGAGAACUGAGGGGGGCUGCUCCUAGUACGAGAGGACCGGAGUGGACGCAUCACUGGUGUUCGGGUUGUCAUGCCAAUGGCACUGCCCGGUAGCUAAAUGCGGAAGAGAUAAGUGCUGAAAGCAUCUAAGCACGAAACUUGCCCCGAGAUGAGUUCUCCCUGACUCCUUGAGAGUCCUGAAGGAACGUUGAAGACGACGACGUUGAUAGGCCGGGUGUGUAAGCGCAGCGAUGCGUUGAGCUAACCGGUACUAAUGAACCGUGAGGCUUAACCUUACAACGCCGAAG
rnacentral:rRNA from 1 species